UUACUGAAAUCGUUGUCCAUACAACAUAAUCAGCUUACGGGUUCUAUACCAUUCACAAUAUUCAAUAUUUCUAGAAUUGAAUUCAUUACAUUUUCAAACAAUAGCUUAUCAGGAAAUCUUCCCAAUGGUUUAUGCAAUCGUCUCUCAAUUCUCAAAAGGCUUCAUCUAUCCAGAAACAAGCUUGAUGGUCAUAUUCCUACAAGCUUGUCAAAUUGUUCACAACUUCAAAUAUUGUCUCUAUCCGGAAAUGAUUUUAAUGGACCAAUACAUAGUGAAAUUGGAAGGUUGAGUAACUUGCAGAGACUGUAUCUCAGAUCCAACCAUUUCACAGGUGAAAUAACCAAAGAGAUAAGAUAUCUCGUUGAGUUGCAGAAACUUGCUCUUGGGUUUAAUAGUUUUAGUGGUUCACUUCCAAUGGAGAAAUUCAACAUAUCACGACUGAGAAAAAUGGCUCUUUCAUUCAAUAAUCUAUCAUGAACUCUACCAUCAAACAAAGGUUCAACCUUACCCAACAUUGAAGAGCUUUAUUUGAGUGACUUAACCAAUCUUGUUGGGACUAUUCCUCAUUCUAUCUCCAAUUGUUCAAAGCUUACUAAUCUAGAGAUUUCAGAUAACAAACUCAGUGGCUUGAUUCCCAAUUCUCUUGGAUAUUUGACUCAUCUACACUUCCUAAACUUGCAGGGAAACAAUUUAACCAGUGAUUCAUUUUUAAGCUUCCUCACUUCCUUAAACAAUUGCAGAAAUUUAAGAGUUCUUGAUCUAUCUUUCAACCCUCUAAAUGGCAUGCUUCCGGUCUCCGUAGGGAACUUCUCCAAAUCUCUUGUAAAGUUUUAUGCCGCUGCUAGCAAGAUUAACGGCCAGAUUCCAAAUGAAGUUGGAAACUUAAGCAGCUUAUUAGACCUUGGUCUUUCUGAUAAUAACUUAAUUGGAUCAAUUCCAACAUCAACUCACAACUUGAGAAACCUUCAGCGUAUGUAUUUUCAGUACAACAAAACUUACAGGAUUUAUUGCAGAUAACAUUUGUAAAUUGCAGUAUUUGGGUGAAAUUUACUUGGCACAAAAUCAACUUUCAGGAUCUCUUCCUAAUUGUUUAGGGAACGUUACUUCCCUUAGAUUGAUAUAUCUUGCUUCCAAUAAAUUGAGUUCCAAUAUACCAACAAGCUUGGGGAAUCUUAAAGAUUUAGUGCUUCUUGACUUAUCGUCAAACAACAUGGUUGGUUCUUUACCUCCGGAAAUUGGAAAUCUAAAAGGUGGGAUACAGAUGGAUCUAUCGAUGAAUCAAUUCUCAAAUGGAAUUCCUAGAGAAAUUGGAGGAUUGCAAAAUCUGGUGCAUCUUUCUUUGAGACACAACAAGUUACAAGGAUCUAUACCUGACUCAGUCAGCAACAUGAUAGGUUUGGAAUUCCUAGACCUUUCUCAUAAUAAUAUAUCAGGAAUCAUUCCUAUGUCUUUGGAGAAACUUCAAUACCUCAAGUAUUUCAAUGUUUCUGGCAACAAGUUGCAUGGUGAAAUACCCUCGGGGGUUCUUUCAAGAACCUCUCAAGUCUGUUUUUCAUCAACAAUGAAGCACUGUGUGGUUCUUCAAGAUUUAGCGUCCCUCCAUGCCCCACUUCAUCAAAGCACAGAUCAAAUAGGAAUAAAAUGCUUGUUCUAUUUCUUGUGCUGGGAAUAGCACUUGUAUUUGUUCCCAUUGCCUUUGUGUUCCUAUGGGUAAGGUAUAGAAGAGGUAAAAGAUCUCCUCAACAAGCUGAUUCAUUGUCUAUUGCAACAACAGAAAGAAUUUCAUACUAUGAACUGCUCCAAGCAACUGAUUCGCUUAGCGAGAGUAAUCUGAUUGGUUCUGGAAGUUUUGGCUCUGUUUACAAAGGCGCUCUCAGAGGUGGAACGACCAUCUGAGUUAAAGUGUUCAAUCUGCAACUGGAAGCGGCAUUCAAGAGUUUUGAUACAGAAUGUGAAGUUUUGCGUAGCCUUCGCCAUAGGAAUCUUGUGAAAGUCAUCACUAGUUUCUCCAACCUUGAUUUUAAGGCUUUAGUGCUCGAGUAUAUGCCUAAUGGAAGUCUUGACAAGUAUUUGUAUUCGCACAACUACUUCCAAGACAUCAGGCAGAGACUAAGUAUUAUGAUAGAUGUGGCAUGUGCAUUGGAAUAUCUUCACCAUGGUUGCUCCUCGCCCGUGAUUCAUUGUGAUCUAAAGCCUAGUAACGUCUUGCUGGAUGAGGAUAUGGUUGCCCACCUAAGCGACUUUGGUAUUUCAAAACUGCUUGGUGAAGAUGAGAGUGAUUUAUACACAAAAACCUUAGCAACAUUUGGUUAUAUUGCACCGGAGUAUGGACUGGAUGGACUGGUGUCAGUAAAUGCGAUGUCUAUAGUUACGGGAUUAUGUUGCUGGAAACAUUUACUAGGAGAAAGCCUAGUGAUUUUGAGGGAGAUCUUAACUUGAAGCAAUGGGUGAGUUAUUCACUCCAGAGGCAGUAAUGGAUGUUAUAGAUGCCAACUUGGUUACAGCAACUGAUAAUCGCUUACAGAAGGAGCUAGAUGUUUUGGCAUCAAUCAUGAAAGUGGCAUUAGAUUGCUGUGCUGAAUCUCCAGCAAGAAGGACGAAUAUGAAAGAUGUUGCAGGGAUGUUACAGAAGAUCAAGAUUCAACUUCUUGCAUAUUGAGCAUGUUCUCUAAAUCUCUUGUUCCGAAUCGAUCACUUGUUUGUUGCAAUUGUUAGCUAAAUUGUUGGAUUCAUGUAAAGAUUGUGUUUUUUGUUUUAGCCCUUGAUUUGCGUUUGAUGCUGUUUUGUAACGCUGAUUGGUUUCAAUAAGUCUCACUGUUUCAUUUGCAAAAUGGUGGAACUUGAUUUGCUUU